CCUUACUGCUAUCGGGGUGGGACUAAGACAUGCGAGUCGAGCGUCUCUAGCUAUGUUGAGACGCGGCAGACGGCUCAGUAACACGUGGCUAACCUACCUUCAGGACGAGGAUAAACCCGGGAAACUGGGGCUAAUACUCGAUAGGUGAGGAUGUCUGGAAUGACUUCUCAUCCAAAGGGCAUUGGAAACAUGCUUUCAAUGUCGCCUGGGGAUGGGGCCGCGUCCGAUCAGGUUGUUGGUGAGGUAACGGCUCACCAAGCCUAUAACCGGUACGGGCCGUGAGAGCGGUAGCCCGGAGAUGGGUACUGAGACAAGGACCCAGGCCCCACGGGGCGCAGCAGUCGCGAAAACUCCGCAAUGCACGAAAGUGUGACGGGGCUACCCCGAGUGCCAUCCGCUGAGGGUGGCUUUUCUUUGGUAUAACUAGCCAUGGGAAUAAGGAGAGGGCAAGACUGGUGUCAGCCGCCGCGGUAAUACCAGCUCUCCGAGUGGUAGGGAUGAUUAUUGGGCUUAAAGCGUCCGUAGCCGGCUUAGCAAGUCUCCUGUUAAAUUCAGCGACCUAAUCGUUGACCCGCGGGAGAUACUACUAGGCUAGGAGGCGGGAGAGGUCGACGGUACUCCUGGGGUAGGGGUGAAAUCCUAUAAUCCCGGGAGGACCACCAGUGGCGAAGGCUGUCGACUAGAACGCGCUCGACGGUGAGGGACGAAAGCUGGGGGAGCGAACCGGAUUAGAUACCCGGGUAGUCCCAGCCGUAAACGAUGCGAGCUAGGUGUUGGAAUGGCUACGUGCCAUUUCAGUGCCGCAGGGAAGCCAUUAAGCUCGCCGCCUGGGGAGUACGGCCGCAAGGCUGAAACUUAA
rnacentral:rRNA from 1 species